GAAAUGCGAUAAGUAGUGUGAAUUGCAGAAUUCAGUGAAUCAUCGAAUCUUUGAACGCACAUUGCGCCCUAUGGUAUUCCGUAGGGCAUGCCUGUUCGAGCGUCAUUUACACCUUCAAGCCUUGCUUGGUGUUGGGUGACUGUGGCCCCUUUGGGGCCACUCGCCUUAAAGUCAUUGGCGGCCGGUUCGUUGGCUUUGUAGCGCAGCACAAUUGUGUCCUCGAAGCCGCUGGACCAGCUCCCAGAAGCUAAUUUUAAAUGUUUGACCUCGAAUCAGGUAGGGAUACCCGCUGAACUUAAGC
rnacentral:misc_RNA from 1 species